rnacentral:rRNA from 1 species
UACGUAGGCAGCAAGCGUUGUUCGGAGUUACUGGGCGUAAAGGGUGCGUAGGCGGUUGUUUAAGUUUGGUGUGAAAUCUCCCGGCUCAACCGGGAGGGUGCGCCGAAUACUGAAUGACUAGAGUGCGGGAGAGGAGAGUGGAAUUCCUGGUGUAGCGGUGAAAUGCGCAGAUAUCAGGAGGAACACCGGUGGCGAAGGCGGGUCUCUGGGCCGAAACUGACGCUGAGGAGCGAAAGCGUGGGGAGCAAACAGG